ACUCCCCACCAAAACCAACUGAAAACCAACAUCCAAAUCUCAUACCUUAACCAGAAGGUCCUGCAUUGGGCCCUCUAGCCAAAGAACUUCAGUCAGUGAAUCAACCGCCUCCAGUUCAUCCAGUCAUGAAUCAGUCUGAUCCAAGUAAUCCUGCACCUGAAGGUCCUGCGCCUGGACUCCAGACAGACGUUCAACCACCUCCAGUUCAGCCACAUUUGACUCAGUCUGAACCAGUCUAUGAAGUUGUUCUCCAGGUUCAUGAAGAACAUACAUACAUGUGUCCUGAUCCAGCUUCUCCACCUGCUGGGCUUCAGCCAGAGAAUCAGUCACCUCCAGUUCAGCCAGUCAUGAAUAUAUCUGCUACAGUUAAUGCAGUGCCACAACUGAUUCAGCCAUAUAAAGACUAUCCAGUCCAAAGCUACCUUCCAAAUCCCAUACCUCAGACAGCAGGACCUGGACAGGUUCCUCCAGCAGGGCUCCAGCCACAGAAUCAACCACUUCCAGUUCAGACAGCCUUGAAUCAAUCUGGUCUGAGUAAUCCAGCACAUCACCAGGUUCAGUCAUAUACAGGUAAAAAAAAAAAAGUAUGUUUGAAAAGUAUGUAAUAUUUAGAUGUUCAAAUUAAAAAAAGAAAGAAAAAAGUUAUUAUUGUGAUGUCAUAAAGAAUUAACUAGAUUAUUAAAACGAAAAAGUUCAUGGUUUUCACACUUUAUUGAUUAUUGUCUUAAACUAGGCCAUCCAGUCCAAAUCUACCCUCCAAUGCCAUACCUCAGACAGCAGGACCUGGACAGGUUCCUCCAGGUGCAGUGCUCCAGCCACAGAAUCAACCACUUCCAGUUCAGACACUCAUGAAUCAAUCUCCAAAUCCAAUGCCUCAGCCAGGACAGCAACUUUCCACUUACCCUGUGGGAGGUUAUGUAGU
rnacentral:lncRNA from 1 species